AUGGCGCACUCGUGUACUGCUCCAUGGCCACAUAACAGAACAGAACGCUUUCUUGCGGCUUGCCUCGCAUCUCCUCCACAAUCCCUUCAUCCUCGACACCCAGGUUAUGACCAGAUCGCUUGGACAUCUGCGGAGCAAAUUGAGUUUGUACUUUGUAGACCACACACAGGGGUACCGGCUAGUUCUCCAGUAGGUCACAUACAAGGCUACCGGCUAAAUCUCCUGUGGGAAAAGCACCGUGCACUUAGAAUGGGGGACCGAAUUGUCCUGGAGCGCAUACUUUCCGGAUUUGAGAAACCGACGAACCUCGCAUUAGCACUUUUACAGGAGAUCACUGAAAAUUUCUCUGAAAUGAGAAAAAUUGGGGAGGGUGGAUUUGGGGAGGUUUACAAGGGUGUGCUCCACAAUAGGAUUAUUGCCGUGAAGAGGAUAAUUGUGAGCGAACACACAAUCGACGACAGGCUAUUUGAUCGUGAAGUUAAAAAUUUGAUGAAGAUUAUUAGCCAUCGAAAUGUAGUUCGUUUUCUCGGCUUUUGUUCAAAUACACAUCGUGAGGCGAUAAAAGAGGAAGGAUCAACAGAAUUGGUUUUGGCCCAGAUGAGAGAAAGAUUACUUUGUUUCGAGUAUAUCAGCAACAGAAGCCUCGAUAAACAUAUUACCGAUGAAUUACGAGGACUUGAAUGGAGUAUACGAUACGAAAUAAUCAAAGGAAUUUGUCAUGGUUUGCAUUACCUUCACGAGGAAAAAAAUAUUAUUCAUAUGGACCUCAAACCUGGCAAUAUAAUGAUAGAUGAAGAUAUGGUGCCAAAGAUAACAGAUUUUGGUUUAUCAAGACUUGAUAAACAUACACACACCAGUGGUACCCGUUAUAUAACACAAGGAUACUGUGCUCCAGAAUACGUGAAUGGUGGCAAGACAUCAAAAAAGGCUGACAUGUAUAGUUUGGGUGUUAUACUCACGGAACUGAUAACCGGACUUAAGGGCGAUCCAGAAAAUGUUAAUAUAAGCCUUUACUCGGAUGACAUGCUUGGAAUUAAGCCGCUCGAACUACGGUUUCUCUUUGAGCGUCAGAAACAGAUAUCAUCCGUAGUUAAGCUAAUCAACAAGACAAAGGAUUACUACGCCUUCAACAUCGAAACACCAAGCCAACAGUACUGUGCACAACCAAACAAAGGCAUUGUGUGUCCACAAUCCAAGUGUACUAUCCAGAUAACAAUGCAAAUGCAUGAGACUACACCACAAGAUAUGCCGUACACCGACGAUUUUAUCGUGCAAAGCACAAAAGUCGACGGGGACCUUAGAGCAGGGGAUAUCACUGAUGUCUUGUUCAACAAAGAGCCGGGUAAAGUGGAUGAGGUAAUUUUGACAGUUGUGGUAUAUCUGCCUGAGAAAUCUAAGGGAGAUCUCAAGAGUCGAGAAGACACCAAGAAAAAACGGAAUAUGGUUGAAUAUGCUUUUAGCAAGGACAAACCUGGCGUCGGCGCAACUAUGCAAUCAGAGGACAUUAAUUCUAUUGGUUACAAAGAUGUGCGAGGACAAUGUACUGGGCAACCUGAGCACCAUAGCUUCCAUGCAGCUCCAAGCAUGCAAACCAAGAUGAGCAACAGAGUUGUGGAUCUUGCAACAGGGGCCAUGGGCAGCCUUCUCUACAAGCUUGGCGACCUCCUCAAGGAAGAGUACAAUCUAGAGAUUGGUGCGAAGACAGACAUAGAGUAUUUCUCAGAUGAGCUUUUGGAGAUGCAGUUAGCGCUCUGCAAGGUGUCCGAGGUACAACGAGACAACCUCAAUGACCAGGUCAUACACUGGGCCAACAAUGUUAGGGAUAUGUCAUAUGACAUUGAGGAUGUGGUUGAUGGCUUUUUGGUACACAUCGAGCAUGCCUCUAAUACAGGCUUCUUCAUGGGGCUCAUGCAGAACAUGUUCAAUCUCUUCAAGUGGGGAAAGACUCACAAUCCGAUCCGUGACACGAUCAAAGACAUAAAGAAACAAGUUAAAGAUGCGGCUGAUAGGCGUAGAAAGUGCAAGGUUGAUGAAGUCGUGGCUAAUGUAGCUGUCGUGACUACAAUUGACCCUCGCAUUUCAGCUAUAUACAAAGAUCAGAAAGAGCUCGUUGGAAUUAAAGAGCCAAGAAAUGAGCUAAUCAAGUGGCUCUCUGAUAAGGAGGGGGGUGGAGAUGUGUCUAAGAAGCAACUCAAGAUAGUCUCUAUUGUUGGAUUCGGAGGAUUGGGCAAGACAACACUUGCCAAGGCAGUGUAUGACAAGCUUCAAUCCCAGUUCUAUCCUAUGGUUUUUGUUCCAGUGGGUAGGAAUCCUAAUGUGAAAAAAGUUUUUGAGGCAAUUCUCCAUGAGCUUGGCUAUGGUUUCAAUGCACUAAACUUAAAUGAAAUGCAGCUCAUCAACAAAAUUCGAGAAUUGCUCCAGAACAAGAGGUACUUCAUAGUAAUUGAUGAUAUAUGGGAUUCCUCAGCGUGGGAUAUUAUUAAAUGUGCUUUGACAAAUGACAAUUGUGGCAGUGGAGUGUUGACAACUACCAGGAUUCGCUCUGUUGCUGAUGACUGUUGCAUACAUAGCAGAGGAUAUGUUUAUAUGAUGAAACCACUAAAUAACCAAGACUCAAGAAAACUUUUUGUUAGUAGAAUAUUUGGAAAUCAUGAUGAUCUUAAAGAUAUGGAACAAAUAUUGGAUCUUAGCUACAUGCAUCUCCCUCACCAUCUUAAGACAUGCCUGCUUGAUAUUGGUAAGUACCGAGAGGACCAGGAGAUAGAAAAGGAUUAUUUGCUGAGGCAAUGGAUAGCUCAAGAGUUUGUGAGCACAACUAGUGUGCGUGAUGCCGAGGAUGUCGCAGAAGACUACUUCUAUAAGCUCAUCAACAUGAGCAUGAUCCAACCUUGGAAGAUAGACUACAAUGAUGAGGUGUUGUCCUGCAAAGUACAUGAUAUAAUGCUUGAUCUCAUCAGAUCCAAGGUCGCAGAAGAAAAUUUUAGUCUUAUAAUAGAUGGGCCCGAAGUUGUGAUAAGGGAACACAAAAGGGUCCGCCGAGUCUCCAUUUAUUACAAUGGUGAAGAUGAUGGUGAAAUACUAGAAGCAAUCAGUGGGCCACUAUCGCAUGUUCGGUCGAUCUUACUUUUUAGAGGGCCUCUUGUGCCUUCUUUUCUGGUGCUGAAGUAUGUUCGAGUUCUUCACCUUGAAGAUGAGAGAUGUGAGAGGCUAGACCUCACCGGUAUUUGUGGGUUGUUUCUACUAAGGUAUUUAAAGAUUUUUUGCUGCAGGAUACAUUUGAUACUACCUAGUAAAAUUGGGGAGCUACGGCAAUUGGAGACAGUAGAAGUGGAAGGGCAAUAUAAACCGACAUCUCUUCCAUCAGAUAUUGUUACUUUGCCCCGGUUGUCGCAUCUCAGUUAUUCAAAUGGUCUGGUGUUGCCUGACGGGAUUGGCAAGUUGAAAUCUCUGCGCACCCUACGAGGUGCUGCAUUUUUGGAAAGCUCGGUGGACAAUAUUAAGGGCCUCGGCGAGCUGACAAACUUGAGGGAACUUGAGAUGUUUUCGGAAUUGCGGUUUUAUAAUGAAGAGGAUGAAUUGGAGUGGAAGAUGCAUAUUGAUGCCUUGCGCUCUUCCAUUGGAAAGCUUUCCAACACCCUCAGGAGCCUUUAUAUCGGAGAAAGAUGCCCCAUAGUACCGCUGGUCCAUGGCUGGAGCAGCACACUAACCCCACCUCGUCGUCUUCGGAAGCUUGAUCUGACUGGCUGUGAGUUCCAAGGAAUCCCCGAGUGGAUUGCUCAGCUCCACGAGCUCUACAGUUUAACUAUUUUCGUGAGGGAAGUGGCUGAUUUUGUCAGUAUUGUUGCAGGGUUGCGUUCCCUUGCGCACUUAGAAUUGCGGGGACUCAUGUAUGGACUGUCUAAAAGGGAAAAGUGGGUAAUCAUCAAUGCCAGGGCAUUCGGAGCGCUCAAGCAUCUGGAGUUGUACUGUCCUUAUGUGUCACUGGUCUUUGAAGCGGGAGCUAUGCCCAACCUAGAGAAGCUCGGCAUAUGCUUUCGUUUCUUCAUAUCUGCUGAAUUGUUACCAGUUGGCAUCGAGCACUUGCCAGCAGGCACUCUGCGGGAUAUCCAUUUAACGUUGGCGUCCAACGGUAAUGAGGUAGUGGCCUCCCAGUUCGAACAACAUAAAGCAGCUGUCGGUAUGCUGUUGAAGAGCGCGUUUGAGGCGCAUCAUCCUGCUGCAGAUGUCACCAUUGACUUUGAUAACGUCCUCAAGAGAUUGAUGCAGUCGCUGUAA
rnacentral:rRNA from 1 species